CGCCUAGUCCUCUAAUUUUCAUUUUCCGAAAAUGAGCAAUCAAUCAUGAGUUCUAACAAUAGAAUACAACUAACGUCAAGCUCAGUGUUUUCUUCCUCUAAUAAUGCAUUAGGUGGGGUCUCCCCCCAAAAUUCUCUUUAUACUCCGUGAACACCUUCAUUAUUACUCAUAGGACCAAGGCAAUAAUAGUCACAUUUCUAACAUGAUGAAGAGCUGCACUUUCUUCUUAUCCAUGGUGAUGAUAAUGGAGCUUUUGCUCUCUACUUCUUCAGUUGCUGUCGCGAUGAAUAUGACGCAAUUGGAUGGUAUAAAUUGGGAGGUUAGUCUUGCAGCUCCAAAUAGUAUAUCUUACUCUGCUCUCCAGCAGCCACCUAUCUGCAAUGAAAAAGUGUCUGGCAGUUGCAUAGGGGAAAAGAAGAAUGGGAAAGUACGGACGUGUAACUUGUACGAUCACUGCGUUCGCUCUCCAGGUUGAUUUAUUGGUCAUGUAUGUAUGCCCAAAAGUAAUAAGCAACGGAGCUAAGUAUUGAUUUUUUUUUUUUUCCCUUCUUUAAGUGGCCAAGAAACUAAAGUAAGUUCAGCUAAGGUCGAAAAAAAGCAAGUGUGGCUGCUGUGAUUCGAGCCCAGGUCUCCACGGCCACAACGUGGAAUUCUCACCACUAAACUACAGCCACUUGCUAUUUGUAUGAGUGAAAUAUAAUAAAUAAUUGGAUAUCUAAAUGUAUGUUCAUCUCUUUUUUGCUAAAGCAUGAAUGAAACCCUUGUGUAUGUACUCCCAAAAUGGUAAGAAUUUGAUAUGGUUAUGUUUCUCAUCUUUUCUAGCCAAUCACUAAAUAAACUAAUUUGGCAAUUUCUAUGUGUA